AAGAUCGUGCUUCAUAGGAUCAUUUCUAUAGUACGAUUGUCGAGACGCAUCCGCGAUCUCGGAACACACUCGACCACGAUGAGGAGUCGAGGGUCUCCGCUUGAGCGCGAAGCCGGCUCGGAGCUUCGGGUUUCGACCCUGGUUCCGGCCAUUGAUGACCGUUCCGCCGGCCUUAAAUGGCCGGUGGGAGGGCGGAGAUCCAGUCUGAGUGGC